rnacentral:tRNA from 1 species
GGAGACGUGCCAGAGUGGCCGAUUGGGGCUCCCUGCUAAGGAGUUGACCGUGUAAUGCGGUCCGCAGGUUCAAAUCCUGUCGUCUCCG